CUCAUUUUCCUUUAAGUUCUUAUUUGACCCUUGAAUUAUUUGAAGUAUGUUUUCCAAAUUUUCAAAUAUCCGAGGAUUUUUUCCAGAUUUUUUUUUGUUAUUGUUUUUUACUCUAGUGAAGUUUUAUCCGAAAAUAUGCUUAUAUGAUUUCACUCCUUUAAAUUUACUGAAAUGUGUUUUCUCUACAUGGUCUGUCUUAAUGACUUCUUCACAUACACUUAAAGAGGAUGUAUAUUUUGUCAUGUUAGUAAAAUAUUUCUUUAAAUAUUAAUUUGAUCAAUUUGGUUUUGAAAAUGAAGUCAUGUAUUUGAUUUUUCUGUCUACUUUUUGAUUAUUGAGAAGCAUGUUAAAAUCGACAAAAGUUAGUUGUAUCCAUUAAUUCAGUUGUAUCCAUUUUUGUUUUGUGCAUUUUGAAGAUCUGUUUUAAACAUGUAUUUAAGAAUACAUGCACCUAGUUAUAUAAUUAUGAAAUGUUAUGUAUCUCAUAUUUGUCAUGAAAUCCACUUUUUCUUAUAUUAGUAUAGCCAUUUCAGUUUUCUUGUGAUUAGUCUUCACAUGGUUUAUCUUUUUUCUUUUACUUUAUUUUAUAUUUAAAAUGUGUUUCUUAUGGAUAGCAUUGAGUUAGAUCUUUCUAUCCAGUCUUAUGAUCUCUGCAUUUAAUUACAAUAUUUAAACCAUUUACAUUUAAUUAUCAAUGUGGUUGGAAUCAUGUUUGUCAUCUUACUUCUUUUUCUAUUUGUCCUAUCUGUUCUAUGUUCCACUGACCCUUAUUUCUUUUCUUUUCAAAAUUAUGUUUAUAAUUUAUUUGUCUUACUAGCUUAUUAACUUUAUUAUUUCUUUUACAUUAUUACUGAGUUUUCUAAAGUUUAUAAUAUUCAUGUUGAAGUUUCUACAUUCUAUGCUUUGGAUUAUAUUUUACCACAAUGUAUAAUGGAAAAGCCUUACAACAAUAUGCUCCUGUUUUCCCUUUUUUAUCCUUGUGCUUUUGAUAUCAUAUUUUACUUCUGUAAAUAUUAUAAUCACCAUAAUGCAUUAGUAUUAUAUUACAUUUAGCUUAAGUAGUCAACUAUUACUUACAUUUACUUUAAGUAGUCAGUUACCUGUUAAGGAAAUUUUAAAACAAACAAAUAUAUUUUAUAUUCUCCUACAUAUUGACCAUUUUCAGCAGUUUGCAUCUCCUUUUUUAUAUAUGAAUUCUCAUGUGAUAUUACAUUCCUUCAGCUUUUAGAACUUUCUUUAAUAAUGUCUUAUAGUAUAGAUCUGCUUGCAAAAAAAAAAUGAUCUUAGAUUUAUUUUCUCUGAAAAUGUUUUGUCUUCAUUUUGAGAUAAUAUGUCUAGAUUGACAAGCUCUCUCUUUUCAUAAUUUUAAAGAUAUCAUCUUCUGGUUUAUACUGCCUCUGAUGCUAAAUUGUUUCUUGUUCCUCUACAUAUAAUUGUCUUUUUCCCUCUGGAUAUUUUCAAAAGUUUGUUGUUUGUUUUCAGCCACGUAACUGAUGUGCCUUGGUGUGGUAUUUUUUUCUGUAUGAAAAUUGUUAAACUUCUAAGAUGUGUGGGUUUUUCAAACUUGCAAAUUUGAAAAAAAUUUUAUCUCAUGUAUUCAUAUACUUUUUCUUAGCUCCCUCUUCUAUUUGGGAUUUUAAUUAUACAUUGAUUAGAUUGCAUAUUGUCCUAUAUAGGCCACUAAAAUGCUAAUCUCUGUUUUCCCCCCACGCUUUUUUCUCUGCUUCAGAUUUGUUUUGUUUUGUUUCCUGUUUGUCAAAUAUAUUAUUGUGUUAUUCUCCAU
rnacentral:lncRNA from 1 species